rnacentral:rRNA from 1 species
GAUCAUGGCUCAGGAUGAACGCUAGCGACAGGCUUAACACAUGCAAGUCGAGGGGCAGCAUUGUUUGUAGCAAUACAGGCAGAUGGCGACCGGCGCACGGGUGAUUAACGCGUAUGCAACCUGCCUAUCAGAGGGGAAUAACCCGGCGAAAGUCGGACUAAUACCGCAUAAAACAGGGGUCCCGCAUGGGAAUAUUUGUUAAAGAAGCGAUUCGCUGAUAGAUGGGCAUGCG